GAUGAACGCUGGCGGCGUGCCUAACACAUGCAAUUCGAACGACCGCACAGUAAGAUCUUUUUCUUACGUUUGGCGAGGGGCGGACGGGUAAGGGUUACAUACCUAUCUACUAUUUCGUGGUUAAUUCCGGAAACCAGCUUACACUACUACCUCAUACUUCCACCGGGUGGUUGCAAAGUGUCAUCCGGUCUUGCUCUAUUUUAUUAGCCGAUGUCGGAUUAGCUAGUUGGCUGGGUAAGGGACCACCAAGGCAACGAUCCGUAGCCGACCUGAGAGGAUGAUCGGCCACACUGGAACUGAGACACGGUCCAGACUCCUACGGGAGGCAGCAGUAGGGAAUAUUCGGCAAUGGGCGAAAGCCUGACGGAGCAACGCCGCGUGAGUGAUGAAGGUCUUCGGAUCGUAAAACUCUGUUAUUAGGGAAGAACAGAUGUGUAAGAAACUGUGCACAUCUUGACGGUACCUAAUCAGAAAGCCACGGCUAACUACGUG
rnacentral:rRNA from 1 species